GGCUCGGUGGUGGAUGGCUCACGCCUACUUUCUAUAUGUGAACAGCAAUUAAAAAUCUUAGCAAGCAGGAGAUGCCUGUUCGAAUCAGGCCCGAGCCA